UACAGAGGAGCCAAGCGUUGUCCGGAUUGACUGGGCGUAAAGCGCACGCAGGCGGAUGCGCGCGUGGGGUGUGAAAUCUGGCCGCUUAACGGCCAGGCGCCAUCCCAUACGGCGCGUCUGGAGUGAUGCAGAGGUCGGUGGAAUUGCCGGUGUAAUGGUGAAAUGCGUAGAGAUCGGCAGGAACACCCAGGGGGAAACCAGCCGACUGGGCAUCGACUGACGCUGAGGUGCGAGAGCGUGGGGAGCGAACCGG
rnacentral:rRNA from 1 species